AGGGGUAUAGUCAGAGUAGAUUUUCUAGAGAGAUCUGCCCUCAGUUUUAGAGCUGUUCUUUUAUGCCAGCACCGUUAUCAGCUAGUACUCCCAUAUCCAGAGUCAGGCAGGAGCAAGGUAAUAUACCUACUAUGUCUAGGUCUCAGGACAGUGUGAGUAAUAAACCUAACUAUCUCCCAUAUACUAAGUGUAGUAGGACGUAUCCUAGAGAGUGUAUGGCUGAGUAGAGAGGUUUGUUUGGUUGUGGUAAGUUGGGCCACAAAUUCAGGGAUUGCCCAUAUGCUAGACAGGAGAGCCGUGAUGUUCGUCUCUAGAGUCAGGCUAUUAGUGCUCCAGCCCCUUGGGUUCGUCCUACUACUCCUCAGGAUGCAUCAUCUAGUACUGCUGGUGGUCAGUUCCAGAAUUGCUUUUAUGCUAUACCACCCCGC
rnacentral:lncRNA from 1 species